rnacentral:rRNA from 1 species
CCUACGGGAGGCAGCAGUGGGGAAUAUUGGACAAUGGGGGCAACCCUGAUCCAGCCAUGCCGCGUGUGUGAAGAAGGCCCUCGGGUUGUAAAGCACUUUCAGUGAGGAAGAACGCCUGGUGGUUAAUACCCAUCAGGAAAGACAUCACUCACAGAAGAAGCACCGGCUAACUCCGUGCCAGCAGCCGCGGUAAUACGGAGGGUGCGAGCGUUAAUCGGAAUUACUGGGCGUAAAGCGCGCGUAGGUGGCUUGAUAAGCCGGUUGUGAAAGCCCCGGGCUCAACCUGGGAACGGCAUCCGGAACUGUCAAGCUAGAGUGCAGGAGAGGAAGGUAGAAUUCCCGGUGUAGCGGUGAAAUGCGUAGAGAUCAGGAGGAAUACCAGUGGCGAAGGCGGCCUUCUGGACUGACACUGACACUGAGGUGCGAAAGCGUGGGUAGCAAACAGGAUUAGAUACCCCGGUAGUC